rnacentral:rRNA from 1 species
AGAGUUUGAUCAUGGCUCAGGAUAAACGCUGGCGGCGUGCUUAACACAUGCAAGUCGAACGAAGUUUUUCUUUCGGGAGGAACUUAGUGGCGGACGGGUGAGUAACGCGUGGGUAACCUGCCUUUCAGAGGGGGAUAACAUUUGGAAACAGAUGCUAAUACCGCAUAAGAUUACAGUACCGCAUGAUACAGUGAUCAAAGGAGCAAUCCGCUGAAAGAUGGGCUCGCGUCCGAUUAGAUAGUUGGUGAGGUAACGGCUCACCAAGUCGACGAUCGGUAGCCGGACUGAGAGGUUGAACGGCCACAUUGGGACUGAGACACGGCCCAG